AACCUUAAUUUCCUGUGUAGAGAGAGGAAAAUGGAUAAGCUUAUUUUUCGGUUAGGGCUCAUGAUCAGAUUUCUCGAUCCCAUUGUUUAGAUCACCCUCCUCACAGUAGAGAGGUGGAAAGGGAUAUUGUUGACUUGAUUUGCAGUUCUCCCCUGCUUGUACCUUUUGCCAUGAAAUUAUAUAUUUUUCAAUCAACAUGAAUUUAAUCGUGUUCUAUCGCGAGGAGAUAAACGUAUAUAUUGUUCAUAUUAUAAAUUAGCUUGCUCAUUACUAAAGUAAAGAUGCAGAUGCAGUUGUAUUCCUGAUCUUAUUUGUCACGUCCACAAUCUUUUUACUUUCGCACAUCUGAGAAAUUAAACCAAGGAGGAGAAAAUCAUAGAUAAAAUUAUAUUUUACCUUCUUUUUUUUGGGGAAUUACAGUUCACCUCUUUAAUGUUGUUUACUAGCUUAACAC